rnacentral:rRNA from 1 species
AUAGCGUAUAUUAAAGUUGUUGCAGUUAAAAAGCUCGUAGUUGAACCUUGGGCCUGGUUGCUCGGUCCGCCUAACCGCGUGCACUGAUGCGACCGGGCCUUUCCUUCUGGCUAGCCCCAUGCCCUUCACUGGGUGUGGUGGGGAACCAGGACUUUUACUUUGAAAAAAUUAGAGUGUUCAAAGCAGGCCUGUGCUCGAAUACAUUAGCAUGGAAUAAUAGAAUAGGACGGCGGUUCUAUUUUGUUGGUUUCUAGAGCCACCGUAAUGAUUAAUAGGGAUAGUCGGGGGCAUCCGUAUUCAAUUGUCAGAGGUGAAAUUCUUGGAUUUAUUGAAGACGAACUACUG